UACGGGGGGGGCAAGCGUUGUUCGGAAUUACUGGGCGUAAAGGGCUCGUAGGUGGCCAACUAAGUCAUACGUGAAAUCCCUCGGCUUAACCGGGGAACUGCGUCUGAUACUGGAUGGCUUGAGUUUGGGAGAGGGACGCGGAAUUCCAGGUGUAGCGGUGAAAUGCGUAGAUAUCAGGAGGAACACCGGUGGCGAAGGCGGGUCUCUGGGCCGUAACUGACGCUGAGGAGCGAAAGCGUGGGGAGCGAACAGG
rnacentral:rRNA from 1 species